UAAGUUAUUAAGGGCGCACGGUGGAUGCCUUGGCACUAGAAGCCGAUGAAGGACGUUACUAACGACGAUAUGCUUUGGGGAGCUGUAAGUAAGCUUUGAUCCAGAGAUUUCCGAAUGGGGAAACCCAGCAUGAGUUAUGUCAUGUUAUCGAUAUGUGAAUACAUAGCAUAUCAGAAGGCACACCCGGAGAACUGAAACAUCUUAGUACCCGGAGGAAGAGAAAGAAAAAUUCGAUCCCUUAGUAGCGGCGAGCGAAACGGGAAGAGCCCAAACCAACAAGCUUGCUUGUUGGGGUUGUAGGACACUCUAUACGGAGUUACAAAGGACGACAUUAGACGAAUCAUCUGGAAAGAUGAAUCAAAGAAGGUAAUAAUCCUGUAGUCGAAAAUGUUGUCUCUCUUGAGUGGAUCCUGAGUACGACGGAGCACGUGAAAUUCCGUCGGAAUCUGGGAGGACCAUCUCCUAAGGCUAAAUACUCUCUAGUGACCGAUAGUGAACCAGUACCGUGAGGGAAAGGUGAAAAGCACCCCGGAAGGGGAGUGAAAUAGAACCUGAAACCGUGUGCUUACAAGUAGUCAGAGCCCGUUAAUGGGUGAUGGCGUGCCUUUUGUAGAAUGAACCGGCGAGUUACGAUUUGAUGCAAGGUUAAGCAGUAAAUGUGGAGCCGUAGCGAAAGCGAGUCUGAAUAGGGCGUUUAGUAUUUGGUCGUAGACCCGAAACCAGGUGAUCUACCCUGGUCAGGUUGAAGUUCAGGUAACACUGAAUGGAGGACCGAACCGACUUACGUUGAAAAGUGAGCGGAUGAACUGAGGGUAGCGGAGAAAAUUCCAAUCGAACCUGGAGAUAGCUGGUUCUCUCCGAAAUAGCUUUAGGGCUAGCCUCAAGUGAUGAUUAUUGGAGGUAGAGCACUGUUUGGACGAGGGGCCCCUCUCGGGUUACCGAAUUCAGACAAACUCCGAAUGCCAAUUAAUUUAACUUGGGAGUCAGAACAUGGGUGAUAAGGUCCGUGUUCGAAAGGGAAACAGCCCAGACCACCAGCUAAGGUCCCAAAAUAUAUGUUAAGUGGAAAAGGAUGUGGCGUUGCCCAGACAACUAGGAUGUUGGCUUAGAAGCAGCCAUCAUUUAAAGAGUGCGUAAUAGCUCACUAGUCGAGUGACACUGCGCCGAAAAAUGUACCGGGGCUAAACAUAUUACCGAAGCUGUGGAUUGUCCUUUGGACAAUGGUAGGAGAGCGUUCUAAGGGCGUUGAAGCAUGAUCGUAAGGACAUGUGGAGCGCUUAGAAGUGAGAAUGCCGGUGUGAGUAGCGAAAGACGGGUGAGAAUCCCGUCCACCGAUUGACUAAGGUUUCCAGAGGAAGGCUCGUCCGCUCUGGGUUAGUCGGGUCCUAAGCUGAGGCCGACAGGCGUAGGCGAUGGAUAACAGGUUGAUAUUCCUGUACCACCUAUAAUCGUUUAAAUCGAUGGGGGGACGCAGUAGGAUAGGCGAAGCGUGCGAUUGGAUUGCACGUCUAAGCAGUAAGGCUGAGUAUUAGGCAAAUCCGGUACUCAUUAAGGCUGAGCUGUGAUGGGGAGAAGACAUUGUGUCUUCGAGUCGUUGAUUUCACACUGCCGAGAAAAGCCUCUAGAUAGAAAAUAGGUGCCCGUACCGCAAACCGACACAGGUAGUCAAGAUGAGAAUUCUAAGGUGAGCGAGCGAACUCUCGUUAAGGAACUCGGCAAAAUGACCCCGUAACUUCGGGAGAAGGGGUGCUCUUUAGGGUUAACGCCCAGAAGAGCCGCAGUGAAUAGGCCCAAGCGACUGUUUAUCAAAAACACAGGUCUCUGCUAAACCGUAAGGUGAUGUAUAGGGGCUGACGCCUGCCCGGUGCUGGAAGGUUAAGAGGAGUGGUUAGCUUCUGCGAAGCUACGAAUCGAAGCCCCAGUAAACGGCGGCCGUAACUAUAACGGUCCUAAGGUAGCGAAAUUCCUUGUCGGGUAAGUUCCGACCCGCACGAAAGGCGUAACGAUUUGGGCACUGUCUCAACGAGAGACUCGGUGAAAUCAUAGUACCUGUGAAGAUGCAGGUUACCCGCGACAGGACGGAAAGACCCCGUGGAGCUUUACUGUAGCCUGAUAUUGAAAUUCGGCACAGCUUGUACAGGAUAGGUAGGAGCCUUUGAAACGUGAGCGCUAGCUUACGUGGAGGCGCUGGUGGGAUACUACCCUAGCUGUGUUGGCUUUCUAACCCGCACCACUUAUCGUGGUGGGAGACAGUGUCAGGCGGGCAGUUUGACUGGGGCGGUCGCCUCCUAAAAGGUAACGGAGGCGCUCAAAGGUUCCCUCAGAAUGGUUGGAAAUCAUUCAUAGAGUGUAAAGGCAUAAGGGAGCUUGACUGCGAGACCUACAAGUCGAGCAGGGUCGAAAGACGGACUUAGUGAUCCGGUGGUUCCGCAUGGAAGGGCCAUCGCUCAACGGAUAAAAGCUACCCCGGGGAUAACAGGCUUAUCUCCCCCAAGAGUUCACAUCGACGGGGAGGUUUGGCACCUCGAUGUCGGCUCAUCGCAUCCUGGGGCUGUAGUCGGUCCCAAGGGUUGGGCUGUUCGCCCAUUAAAGCGGUACGCGAGCUGGGUUCAGAACGUCGUGAGACAGUUCGGUCCCUAUCCGUCGUGGGCGUAGGAAAUUUGAGAGGAGCUGUCCUUAGUACGAGAGGACCGGGAUGGACAUACCUCUGGUGUACCAGUUGUCGUGCCAACGGCAUAGCUGGGUAGCUAUGUGUGGACGGGAUAAGUGCUGAAAGCAUCUAAGCAUGAAGCCCCCCUCAAGAUGAGAUUUCCCAACUUCGGUUAUAAGAUCCCUCAAAGAUGAUGAGGUUAAUAGGUUCGAGGUGGAAGCAUGGUGACAUGUGGAGCUGACGAAUACUAAUCGAUCGAAGACUUAAUCA
rnacentral:rRNA from 1 species